rnacentral:rRNA from 1 species
AUUGAACGCUGGCGGCAUGCCUUACACAUGCAAGUCGAACGGCAGCGGACCUUCGGGUGCCGGCGAGUGGCGAACGGGUGAGUAAUAUAUCGGAACGUACCUUUCAGUGGGGGAUAACGUAGCGAAAGUUACGCUAAUACCGCAUAUUCUGUGAGCAGGAAAGCAGGGGAUCGCAAGACCUUGCGCUGAUUGAGCGGCCGAUAUCAGAUUAGCUAGUUGGUGAGGUAAAGGCUCACCAAGGCGACGAUCUGUAGCGGGUCUGAGAGGAUGAUCCGCCACACUGGAACUGAGACGCGGUCCAGACUCCUACGGGAGGCAGCAGUGGGGAAUUUUGGACAAUGGGCGCAAGCCUGAUCCAGCCAUGCCGCGUGAGUGAAGAAGGCCUCGGUUGUAAG